AUUUGGUGAUGUGGACAAGUUGCACAAAGUUUUUUAAAACACUCCCAAUAUUCGUAUAAAAACUUUCCACUAUGCUGCCUAAUGCCACAGAUUUCUUUCCUCAUGCU